ACAUGGACAUGUACCUACUGCCCAUACUGAGAUCUACACCUAUGGCAAAUAAACAGCUUAAACAUCACCACCUGGAUUGACACUCACACCUACCUGGCCGACAACUUCAUAGUUGCAUUUUUUGGAUCUGCACAAACCCUCCAGCUUUCCUGCUUCACCCACUGCCUACCAACUGGACUUACCCACCUCCAUACUCCAAAUAAAUACUCACCUUGUUAUUCCUA